rnacentral:tRNA from 1 species
GGCCUGGUGGCGUAGUCGGUUAGCGCGUCGUGCUAAUAACGUGAAGGUCAUGAGUUCGAUCCUCUUUCGGGCCA